CGCCUCCAUUUUCUUCCCUCUCAACUGCAGAUUAAUCAUCUGAUGUUUGAAGAAUUGAUCUUCAAUCGUCUGUUCAUCGAGUUUAGGGUUUUGAUUUAAGUUUCCAUCUGUGUAAGUCAUCAUCAGUUGGGUUUCAUAAUCUGUUAAAUCAGAUUUUAGGGUUCCAUCUAAAUUAGGGUUUUGUUCUUGAUUUGGUUUCGAUUUUUAGGUGUUGUUGAAUGAUGUAUUUGGUUUAUUCGUGAGAAACAGAAGUUUGAUGCUGAGGAGUAUUCUUCGCUAGAGAGCUUGCUGAAGAUGGUUACUCCUAUCAUCCUAUGAGAAAUGAAAUCAUCAUCAGAUCUAACUCAAGGGUUGUGAGUAUUGGUUGAAGGGUUGAGAUCUCUUGUUUUUCCUAGAGAGCCGGCGGAUUUACAAAGGGCGUUUGUUCUCAAGCACCUAUUGUUUCUUCAAAUGAAUUAGGGCCUUGAUUCGGACUAUGGGGGACAGAUUAUUUAUAUGUGGGAGCAAGAAAAGAGCUGUUAUUAUUACUUUAAAUAUUUCAACCCACUGGCCAGAGGAUGCUGAAGAUAUCUAAA